rnacentral:rRNA from 1 species
CGUGCGAGAAAGAUCUCUCCGGAGAUCGAGUACAGCGGCGCACGGGUGUUAACGCGUGGAAAUCUACCCUUGGGACUGGGAUAACAGUGGGAAACCGCUGCUAAUACCGGGUACGCUUCAUUUUAUGAUGAGGGAAAGGUGGCCUCUGUUUCAAGCUACCGNCCGGGGAUGAGUCCGCGUCUCAUUAGCUUGUUGGUGGGGUAAAGGCCCACCAAGGCGACGAUGAGUAGCCGGGCUGAGAGGGUGGCUUGCCCACUGUGACUGGAACACGGCCCUAACUCCUAACGGGAGGCAGCAGUGGUGAAUAUUGCGCACUGGGCGAAAGCCUUGACGCAAGCGACGCGGCGUGAUGGAAGAAGGCUUUCGAGUCGUAAACCUCUGUCAGGAAGGAAGACCUGCAGUAUUCGAAAGGAUAUUGGUCUGACGGUACUUCCAGAGGAAGCACCGGUUAACACCGUGCCAGCAGCCGCGGUAAUAACGGAGGGUGCGAGCGUUAAUCGGAAUUACUGG